rnacentral:rRNA from 1 species
UUGGAGGGCAAGUCUGGUGCCAGCAGCCGCGGUAAUUCCAGCUCCAAUAGCGUAUAUUAAAGUUGUUGCAGUUAAAAAGCUCGUAGUUGAACUUCGGGAUCAAUGGAUUGGUCAUGCCGAUGGUAUGUACUGGUCAUAUUGGUUCUCACCUUCUAAGGAACCAUAAUGUCAUUCAUUUGAUGUUUUGGGGAAUUAGGACUGUUACCUUGAAAAAAUUAGAGUGUUUAAAGCAGGCUAACGCUUGAAUACAUUAGCAUGGAAUAAUGAAAUAGGACAUCGCAUUCUAUUUUGUUGGUUUCUAGGAUCGAUGUAAUGAUUAAUAGGGAUAGUUGGGGGCAUUAGUAUUCAAUUGUCAGAGGUGAAAUUCUUGGAUUUAUUGAAGACUAACUACUGCGAAAGCAUUCGCCAAGGAUGUUUUCAUUAAUCAAGAACGAAAGUUAGGGGAUCGAAGACGAUCAGAUACCGUCGUAGUCUUAACCAUAAACUAUGCCGACUAGGGAUCGGAUGAUGUUGAUUUUUUAAUGACUCAUUCGGCGCCUUACGGGAAAC